AAAAAACUGAGCUUUGUGUUUUUCCACAUUUUGCUUUAUAGUAUUGUUUUGGAGGUAUUCUCUGAAGCAGUUGUUCCCAAUUCAGUCCUCGGGUUAUUUUUAACAGUGCCGGUUUUGUCAAAAUCACAAUAGGAACAAGACUAGAAAAUUACUAAAACAAAGACUGGGAUGUGAACCACUGCUGUAAGGGACAAUUUACAUUGGAUUUGACUCCCAUUUUUUUAAUGACAUUCC